AUUGAACGCUGGCGGCAUGCCUUACACAUGCAAGUCGAACGGUAACAGGUCUUCGGCUGCUGCCGAGUGGCGAACGGGUGAGUAAUACAUCGGAACGUGCCCGAUCGUGGGGGAUAACGAGGCGAAAGCUUUGCUAAUACCGCAUACGAUCUACGGAUGAAAGCGGGGGAUCUUCGGACCUCGCGCGGACGGAGCGGCCGAUGGCAGAUUAGGUAGUUGGUGGGAUAAAAGCUUACCAAGCCGACGAUCUGUAGCUGGUCUGAGAGGAUGAUCAGCCACACUGGGACUGAGACACGGCCCAGACUCCUACGGGAGGCAGCAGUGGGGAAUUUUGGACAAUGGGCGAAAGCCUGAUCCAGCCAUGCCGCGUGCAGGAUGAAGGCCUUCGGGUUGUAAACUGCUUUUGUACGGAACGAAAAGCCACUUUCUAAUAAAGAGGGGUCAUGACGGUACCGUAAGAAUAAGCACCGGCUAACUACGUG
rnacentral:rRNA from 1 species